rfam:Bombyx mori DNA, contig: Bm_scaf35_contig21064, strain: p50T/Dazao, build 2, whole genome shotgun sequence.
UUAACGCAAAUUUGUAUUGAGUUGGAACGUUUGUCUACGUUUGCCGCCAGGGGCGCUGUUCCGACUGCAUACAAAUUCGAGUUA